rnacentral:rRNA from 1 species
GACGAACGCUGGCGGCGUGCUUAACACAUGCAAGUCGAACGGAAAGGCCCUGCUUUUGUGGGGUGCUCGAGUGGCGAACGGGUGAGUAACACGUGAGUAACCUGCCCUUGACUUUGGGAUAACUUCAGGAAACUGGGGCUAAUACCGGAUAGGAGCUCCUGCUGCAUGGUGGGGGUUGGAAAGUUUCGGCGGUUGGGGAUGGACUCGCGGCUUAUCAGCUUGUUGGUGGGGUAGUGGCUUACCAAGGCUUUGACGGGUAGCCGGCCUGAGAGGGUGACCGGCCACAUUGGGACUGAGAUACGGCCCAGACUCCUACGGGAGGCAGCAGUGGGGAAUAUUGCACAAUGGGCGGAAGCCUGAUGCAGCAACGCCGCGUGCGGGAUGACGGCCUUCGGGUUGUAAACCGCUUUCGCCGGUGACGAAGCGUGAGUGACGGUAAUGGGUAAAGAAGCACCGGCUAACUACGU